CUGCCUUCAGAUAGUUGCUUUCUUUCUAUUAAAGAACUUCCUCCUGGUCUGCAUGGACCUAAAUUGUGCAAUUAAAAGUCUCAAGUGGGAUUGCUGUAAAGACCGUUGUCGUGAGGUUUUGGACUUCUGCCUCAGACAGAUAACUCCACAUGGCUGGUUUGAUGUUGUUCUGGUGGCUGAGUCCGUGCUCUGCUGCCUGCCACACAGAAGACUGGAAUUAUAAGCUCCACUUCAGCCAAAGUUUAAAAUUUUGUAACGUUUCUCCAGAUGAAGUGAUUGAAUGUCGACAAGACCCUUUGAACAAGGAGUUUCUUGAUCCCUCAAGCCCUGACUUCAGCAGGAAGAAGUCAUUCAUCAUGUGUUCUUUCUGUUGCAAACAACACAAAGUCAAUGAGGAAGCGUCACUGUUCAAAAUGAAUCCAAAAUAUUAGAGUUGGUGUCCUUGGCAGGAGGCUCAUUCAGGGAACCUGUUUUACAAUUGGCCUCAAAGACCAA